AACGAACGCUGGCGGCGUGCCUAACACAUGCAAGUCGUGCGAGAAAGUUCCUUCGGGAGCGAGUAAAGCGGCGCACGGGUGAGUAACACGUAGGUAACCUGCCCCCCAGUCUGGAACAACUAGAGGAAACUCUAGCUAAUGCCGGAUGAGACCACGAUCCCGUUCGGGGUUGCGGCCAAAGAUGGCCUCUACUUGUAAGCUAUCGCUGAGGGAUGGGGCCUGCGGGCCAUUAGCUUGUUGGUGAGGUAACGGCUCACCAAGGCUGUGAUGGCUAGCUAGGUCGUGAGAGGAUGACCAGCCGACACUGGGACUGAGACACGGCCCAGACUCCUACGGAGGCAGCAGUGGGAAU
rnacentral:rRNA from 1 species